AGGAUGAACGCUGGCGGCGUGCCUAACACAUGCAAGUCGAGCGAUCUUCUUCGGAAGAGAGCGGCGGACGGGUGAGUAACGCGUGGGUAACCUGCCCUGUACACACGGAUAACAUACCGAAAGGUAUGCUAAUACGGGAUAAUAUAUGAGAGUCACAUGACUUUCAUAUCAAAGCUUUUGCGGUACAGGAUGGACCCGCGUCUGAUUAGCUAGUUGGCAAGGUAACGGCUUACCAAGGCGACGAUCAGUAGCCGACCUGAGAGGGUGAUCGGCCACACUGGAACUGAGACACGGUCCAGACUCCUACGGGAGGCAGCAGUGGGGAAUAUUGCACAAUGGGCGAAAGCCUGAUGCAGCAACGCCGCGUGAGCGAUGAAGGCCUUCGGGUCGUAAAGCUCUGUCCUCAAGGAAGAUAAUGACGGUACUUGAGGAGGAAGCCCCGGCUAACUACGUGCCAGCAGCCGCGGUAAUACGUAGGGGGCUAGCGUUAUCCGGAAUUACUGGGCGUAAAGGGUGCGUAGGCGGUCUUUCAAGCCAGAAGUGAAAGGCUACGGCUCAACCGUAGUAAGCUUUUGGAACUGUAGGACUUGAGUGCAGGAGAGGAGAGUAGAAUUCCUAGUGUAGCGGUGAAAUGCGUAGAUAUUAGGAGGAAUACCAGUAGCGAAGGCGGCUCUCUGGACUGUAACUGACACUGAGGCACGAAAGCGUGGGGAGCAAACAGGAUUAGAUACCCUGGUAGUCCACGCCGUAAACGAUGAGUACUAGGUGUCGGGGGUUACCCCCCUCGGUGCCGCAGCUAACGCAUUAAGUACUCCGCCUGGGAAGUACGCUCGCAAGAGUGAAA
rnacentral:rRNA from 1 species